rnacentral:rRNA from 1 species
UACGUAGGGGGCAAGCGUUGUCCGGAAUCAUUGGGCGUAAAGAGCGUGUAGGCGGUUCGGUAAGUCGGCUGUGAAAGUCCAGGGCUCAACCCUGGGAUGCCGGUCGAUACUGCCGGACUAGAGUUCGGAAGAGGCGAGUGGAAUUCCCGGUGUAGCGGUGAAAUGCGCAGAUAUCGGGAGGAACACCUGUGGCGAAAGCGGCUCACUGGACCAUAACUGACGCUGAUGCACGAAAGCUAGGGGAGCAAACAGG